GUAAGUAGUUCUGCCGAAGACAAUUGACAUUAGCUACAUUGUCUGCGCAAUUCUACUUAAAC
rnacentral:pre_miRNA from 1 species